AAUUUGAGAGGAGCUGUCCUUAGUACGAGAGGACCGGGAUGGACAUACCUCUGGUGUACCAGUUGUCGUGCCAACGGCAUAGCUGGGUAGCUAUGUGUGGACGGGAUAAGUGCUGAAAGCAUCUAAGCAUGAAGCCCCCCUCAAGAUGAGAUUUCCCAACUUCGGUUAUAAGAUCCCUCAAAGAUGAUGAGGUUAAUAGGUUCGAGGUGGAAGCAUGGUGACAUGUGGAGCUGACGAAUACUAAUCGAUCGAAGACUUAAUCAAAUU
rnacentral:rRNA from 1 species